rnacentral:lncRNA from 1 species
UAAAAUUUAUUAAUUAAUAAAUAAUGAAAAUGAAUUGUUUAUACUUGAUCUUAAUUACUGAGAAGAAAUACAUUUUGUUAAAAAAAAGUAGAAAGAAGUAUUAAAAGUUAAUAAUUUAGAAAGAUUAGAUAGUAAUUAUUUAUAUAUUUGAUAAUUCAAAAAAAAUCAUUAGAAAAACAAUAUACGAGACCAUUAUUAAAGGAAAAAUGAAGAGAUAAGAGGUACCUCUAGCUCAGCCAUCUCUUUGUCAAAAGCAAAGACUUGCUUUAAUUUUUUGCAUUAAGAUAUCUCAAGUGUUUCUAGAUGCAACAGACUUUGAACAAGGUAAGGUGAGAAGAUAGAUUUUAGUUUAUCACAACCAUCAAUUGUUACUUCCUUCAGACUUUGUAGCCUUACAUGAUGAGUUGGCCCUUUCCAUAUGCUCUCCAAUGCUGGUAAUGACUGCAAUUCCAACCUUCUUAAAUUUGAGAGUGGUACUGCCUGUUUUACCUCAUAUAAAGAAAAAUAUAAAAUUUAUUAAUUAAUAAAUAAUGAAAAUGAGUUCUUUAUACUUGAUCUUAAUUACUGAGAAGAAAUACAUUUUGUUAAAAAAAAGUAUUAAAAGUUAAUAAUUUAGAAAGAUUAGAUAGUAAUUAUUUAUAUAUUUGAUAAUUCAAAAAAAUCAUUAGAAAAACAAUAUACGAGAGCAUUAUUAAAAGAAAAAUGGAGAGAUAAGAGGUACCUCUAGCUCAGCCAUUUCUUUGUCAAAAGCAAAGACUUGCUCUAAUUUUUCGCAUUUAGAUAUCUCAAGUGUUUCUAGAUGCAACAGACUUUGAACAAGGUAAGGUGAGAAGAUAGAUUUCAGUUUAUCACAACCAUCAAUUGUUACUUCCUUCAGACUUUGUAGCCUUACAUGAUGAGUUGGCCCUUUCCAUAUGCUCUCCAAUGCUGGUAAUGACUGUAGUUUCAACCUUCUUAAAUUUGAGAGUG